AUUGAACGCUGGCGGCAUGCCUUACACAUGCAAGUCGAACGGUAACAGGUUAAGCUGACGUGUGGCGAGCGGGUGAGUAAUGUAUCGGAACUUGCCCAGUCGUGGGGGAUAACUGCUCGAAAGAGCAGCUAAUACCGCAUACGACCUGAGGGUGAAAGCGGGGGAUCGCAAGACCUCGCGCGAUUGGAGCGGCCGAUAUCGGAUUAGGUAGUUGGUGGGGUAAAGGCCUACCAAGCCGACGAUCUGUAGCUGGUCUGAGAGGACGACCAGCCACACUGGAACUGAGACACGGCCCAGACUCCUACGGGAGGCAGCAGUGGGGAAUUUUGGACAAUGGGCGAAAGCCUGAUCCAGCCAUGCCGCGUGUGUGAAGAAGGCCUUCGGGUUGUAAACCGCUUUUGUCAGGGAAGAAAAGGUUCUGGCUAAUACCUGGGAGUCAUGACGGUACCUGAAGAAUAAGCACCGGCUAACUACGUG
rnacentral:rRNA from 1 species